rnacentral:rRNA from 1 species
AACGUAGGGUGCAAGCGUUGUCCGGAAUUAUUGGGCGUAAAGAGCUCGUAGGCGGUUCGUCGCGUCGGCUGUGAAAUCCCGAGGCUCAACCUCGGGUCUGCAGUCGAUACGGGCGGACUGGAGUACUGCAGGGGAGACUGGAAUUCCUGGUGUAGCGGUGAAAUGCGCAGAUAUCAGGAGGAACACCGGUGGCGAAGGCGGGUCUCUGGGCAGUUACUGACGCUGAGGAGCGAAAGCGUGGGGAGCGAACAGG